rnacentral:rRNA from 1 species
AACGUAGGAGACAAACGUUAUCCGGAGUUACUGGGCGUAAAGGGCGUGUAGGUGGUUGCGUAAGUCUGGCGUGAAAUUUUUCGGCUUAACCGGGAAAGGUCGUCGGAUACUGCGUAGCUAGAGGACGGUAGAGGCGUGUGGAAUUCCGGGUGUAGUGGUGAAAUGCGUAGAGAUCCGGAGGAACACCAGUGGCGAAGGCGACACGCUGGGCCGUACCUGACACUGAUGCGCGACAGCAUGGGGAGCAACGAGGAUGAGA